rnacentral:rRNA from 1 species
UUGGAGGGCAAGUCUGGUGCCAGCAGCCGCGGUAAUUCCAGCUCCAAUAGCGUAUAUUAAAGUUGCUGCAGUUAAAAAGCUCGUAGUUGAAUUUCGGGACCAUCAUGUCGGUCGUGCCUCGGUACGUACUGGCAUCGUCGGUUUCUCCCUUCUGACGAACCAUGAUGUCAUUUAUUUGGUGUUGUGGGGAAUCAGGACUGUUACUUUGAAAAAAUUAGAGUGUUUAAAGCAGGCUCACGCUUGAAUACAUUAGCAUGGAAUAAUGAAAUAGGACGUUUGAUUCUAUUUUGUUGGUUUCUAGGAUCGACGUAAUGAUUAAUAGGGAUAGUUGGGGGCAUUAGUAUUCAAUUGUCAGAGGUGAAAUUCUUGGAUUUAUUGAAGACUAACUACUGCGAAAGCAUUUGCCAAGGAUGUUUUCAUUAAUCAAGAACGAAAGUUAGGGGAUCGAAGACGAUCAGAUACCGUCGUAGUCUUAACCAUAAACUAUGCCGACUAGGGAUCGGAUGAUGUUAAUUUUUUAAUGACUCAUUCGGCGCCUUACGGGAAAC